AGGAGGCCGAGGCACGGCACUGACGGCUCCGGCCGUGCAUACCAGGAGAGCAGGCGGUGGUCAGGCGCCAGUUCAUUCCUGAGCAGCUGAGGGGCCCGGCGGAGGGGACAGCGGGUGCUGUUGAGGGCCCCCCCUGCCAGCCCCCAGGGGGCCGAUGCAGACUUGCGAUGGGGUGGGGGUUUAGCAAGAGUCCCACCAUGGUCUGAGUCCAGCACAGCCCCACGGGGUGGCACAUGCCACCGGAGAGGUGUCCCCAUCCCAGGGACGAUGCUGGCACCUGCAGCACCGCUCUAGGUGCCCAGGGCUGUCCCCCCUCUGGGGUGGCUGCUCGCCCGCAGCCUCCCCUCUCUCCUUCCCUGCGCUGGCGCUCGGCCCCGCUGCAACCCGCUGACAAAUCCCGCUGGCAGUUCCUAUGGCAGAAGCCACUUCCCCCCCUGCUAAUCCGCCCGUGCGUGCAGCCUCCACCUGCUGAGCCAGCGGGAGCCGUGCUCAGCCGGCCCCAGCCAGCGCCAGGGCUCCGAACCCCGCUCCAGCUGCAGAGACCGUGGGGCAGCGGAGCCUCCGCACCCCGGCCCCGCUGCCGCAGGAGACCCCGGCCCCGCUUGGCACCAGCCGGCGGCACCAGCUGGCACCAGGAGAGCCGAGCCCUCCAGGUCGGCUCGCACAAGGAAGCAGAGGGACGGCGGGGUGCUGGGGAUCCGCAUGGCUCCCUGCGAGCGGUGACGUGCCCGGCUGGAUCCCUGUGCCAACGGGCAGAGCUCAGGAGGUGGUCACAGACACACUCCCCACCUCGUCCCAGCCAGGUCAUCAGGUGAGCAUCAUCUCCACCCUGCCACCUCCUCCCCUGAAACGCAGGGCACAGAGGUCCUGGGGGGCGUCACCAUUGGGAGCCCUGUGAGCAAUGACCAGAGAACUCCCACCCUGAAAUGGGUCUGCAGCCAGGACCCUGCCCAGCCAGGACAACAAGGGAACAGCAAAGCUAAAACGGUCCCUGAGCCAUUUGCUGAUCUCAGCAAGAGGCUGAGAUGCUUUGUUGAUUAUCAAAGCAUCCAGGAUCGUUGCAGUCUCAUUAUAACCAGAUUCCCAGGAGCCUGCAGUGAUUUUUUUUCCCCCUCUCCAUUGGCUAAUAGGUUAAUAACCUGCUGGCACUUGACAGAGGUCCAGCAUCUUCUGUGUUUCCCUCCAUGUGACUGAUUAAAAUGCCCCUUCUCCCUCUUUCCCAACCCGCCUGUGCUCCGCUGCCUUGUCACACGUGCAGAGAAUUGGAUAUGGCUGCUAAUCAGCUUGCCUGCUCGGACUUUUAAGCACACUGGCUCUCUGUUUCUCUGCUCCGUGGCACUGUGGAGUGGGGCAGAGGCUCUGUGAGCCGAGCAGCCCAUGCCUUCCUACAGGAUGGAGUGGGCAGCACCCAAUGAAUGGAAAUGCUGUCACUGUGAGUCACGGGUGGAAAGGGAAGGGUGGUUUUGUGAUGGAAAGGGGAGCCGGAUGGUUUGCAGCUCCCCAACCUCAGCCCUGCUGACAGCCUCGCUGUGCCUCAGUUUCCCCUGCCCCUAGCACAGGCACAGUAGAGGGAAAGGGAAAUCUCAUGGUAGAGGAGGGCUGGUGGGUGAGUAAUAUAUAGUAAGUAUAGUAAGUAAGUAAUGUAUAGUUGCAAAGCGCUUGCAAAUCUCUGGAGGAAAACGUUCCAUGAGGGUGCCAAGAUGCUGGAGACACUAAGUGCCUGCAAACGCUGCCUGGCUCCUCAGGCCCUAGAACUCAAAUAUUGCCCAAGAGGCACGGAAAAUAUUCCUUCAGCUCGUAUGAUGCAUUGCCCACAGCCUGGAAUAAAUCUCCCUUUCUUUCUGCUCGUGCUUUCCA
rnacentral:lncRNA from 1 species